AGGGGUGUGGCUCAGUUGUAGAGCACCUGCUUUGCAUGCAGAAGGCCCCAAGUGCAAUCCCUGGCAUCUCCA